rnacentral:lncRNA from 1 species
AAAGAUUAUAAAUAGUCGAAAUAAUGAUAAUCUAAGGGGUCCGGUCAUAAUAAUUUGAUUUUUAUUUAUAUUAAUUAUAUAAAAAAGAGUACUCGAGAUUAUAUAUAUCCAACAGCUAAAAUUUCAAAACAAUAUUUGCCAAAGUCUGAUGAAGAGAAUACAUAUAUAUAACAUGCACUCGCACACAUUCUAUUGUUUAAUUAAAAAAUUCGAAAGCCCAUUAUAUACAUGAUAAAGACUUACCGACACCGAACCAUAUUCAUUUAAAGGAAUUGUUUUCAACUGAGAUUUAAAAUUAUUUACACAAACACGCCCGAUUUUUUCUUUUUUUUAAAAAUUACUAAUAAUAAAAUAUUUCAGUCGUCCUCUGUUCGGCUGUCAAAAACCCAUUAAGAUCGAUUUGAACAGAAGGUAUAUGGGUUAACAAUCCUCCAUCCUUUCUGCACUUCUCUUCCAUCAACGGACAGCGAUAGAUACUUAAUUGCAAAAGUGAGGAAGGCAGGCCCUUCUCCGGAAAGUAUUUGAGCUUGGGACAAUCCACGAGAUUUAAGUGGGUGAGGUUUUGAAGAUCAACAAUUGAAGAAGAUAGGCGUUCCAGAUUUGGAAAAUCUACAAUCCUCAGAGAUGUUAGAGAGGCAGGAAGAGGAAGCGCGGUCCCUAAUCUUUUGUCCUCUAGUGGAAAUGACACCAUGUCGUCAUCACAUCCNNNN